GAUGAACGCUAGCGGCAGGCCUAAUACAUGCAAGUCGAGGGGUAGAGGUUGCUUGCAACCUUGAGACCGGCGCACGGGUGCGUAACGCGUAUGCAACCUACCUUCAUCAGGGGGAUAGCCCGGAGAAAUCCGGAUUAACACCGCAUAAAAUCACAGUACGGCAUCGUACAAUGAUCAAACAUUCAUGGGAUGGAGAUGGGCAUGCGUGCCAUUAGCUAGUUGGCGGGGUAACGGCCCACCAAGGCUUCGAUGGCUAGGGGGUCUGAGAGGAUGGCCCCCCACACUGGUACUGAGACACGGACCAGACUCCUACGGGAGGCAGCAGUAAGGAAUAUUGGUCAAUGGGCGCAAGCCUGAACCAGCCAUGCCGCGUGCAGGAAGACGGCCCUCCGGGUUGUAAACUGCUUUUAUUCGGGAAUAAACCUGUCUACGUGUAGACAGCUGAAUGUACCGAAGGAAUAAGGAUCGGCUAACUCCGUGCCAGCCGCCGCGGUAA
rnacentral:rRNA from 1 species